CCCUUAGAUGUUCGGGGCCGCACGCGUGCUACAAUGAGAGACGCAACGUGUGUCCUUCCCCCUUGCCCGAGACGGCUAGGUAAUCAUGACAAAGUCUCUCGUGAUAGGGACUGGGGCUUGUAACUGUUCCCCACGAACGAGGAAUACCUAGUAGGCGCGUGUCAUCAGCGCGCGCCGACUACGUCCCUGCCCUUUGUACACACCGCCCGUCGCUACUACCGAUUGGAUCGGUUAGUGAGAUCACCGGAUUGGUCAGAGGCGUUUCCCACCGGUUCGGCCGCGGGCGCCACGGUAUCAAGAAGACGAUCGAAUUUGACGAUCUAGAGGUCGUAAAAGUCGUAACA
rnacentral:rRNA from 1 species